rnacentral:tRNA from 1 species
GGUACUGUAGCUCAGUGGUAGAGCACUUGUCUAGAAUGUGCUGGGUUCGACCCUCAGCACCA